rnacentral:snRNA from 1 species
UAAGAGAGAGAAGAUGAUGUGU